GCUCCCAUGGCGUAGUGGUCACUGCACUCGCCUUGCACGCGGGAGACCCGGGUUUGAUUCCCGGCGGGGUCA
rfam:Asian citrus Psyllid, Diaphorina citri - Florida Strain, whole genome shotgun sequence.